CAUAAGUAAACACGUCGAGUUUCUUUUUUCUACGAACAAAUGCUUUAAAAUUUUUCAAUUUUGCACAGAAAUCCGCUUGUGAUGAGUUCUGGUAAACGGUAGAAGCCUGGCUAUAUUCCGGCUGCUGUCAAAAGGUCAAAUCGAGUCAUUCCCAUCUCAGCAAGCGGUUCUGUUUUGUUGAUCGCUGAGCGCUUGUUGAACGAUAUACUGCACGAAAUAUUCGUUAAGUUUGAUGGAAUGGUUUGUUGUUGUUUUUUCUCUUGCAAAAAUAGUGUGAAAAUUAUGUAAAAGCAAAGUGUUUCAACAGACUUCGCAGCCGAUUCUUAGUGUACAGAAUCAUUGCAUGGCUAGUACUAUGGAUCCUACUGACACUAAGAAGCCUUCCAGGUGAAAUGCAUUUACGUUCAGAGUGUAGGACCGACGACACGACCAGGCACUCCUAAGAAAAAUCGAAAUAAAACGUGUCUGCUAGCGAUUUACUACCACAAAUAUAGCGAUCCCUUGAUAAUGAUAAAGUUGCUACUAGCUAGUUACCUAGGAACCCCGAAUAAAUAAACAAAACUAGUUGAUAAAGUUGUGGAACAGUUAAAAUUAUUUAACUUGUGUGCCCUCAUUACCACUUUCUAAGAGUAACUUAAGAAAGUAGAACAUGCAAAUGUUACAGGCAUCAUCAGUGCAAGCUGUAAUAAAAGUGAGUGCAUGGAAUUUUAUUUAUGAGCUUUGAAUAUAGUUCACCGUAUUUGGAAAUGAUCUUAGAGUUGAACAUGCCUGCAACGGUAAAUUAUCAAGGCGUUCGAAAAAAGUAGUACCGUUAUUUACGGAGCGUUCCAAUCUAUCUCGAAAUUGGUUGUUACAGCAAACCUUGGCACAGGGCUGGGUAUACAUACGGCAGAAAGUUUGCAUUGAAUCAGUCAAGGCAUCAACCAGUUUUAAUGAAGAAGUGGUGCGUUGGAGAAUCAAGCUCAUCGUAUCAGUGGAUGAUGCGUUUUUAUUUGCAGACCCACGGCAUUUAGGGCAAAACAAGCACACUUCAGGACAGUCCCGAAUGGUUUUAGAAAGAGUGCUGUUCACAUUUGCGCAUUUAAUAUGAUAACUACCGGAGCAAGAUUCGCAGGUUAUUUUGCCACUUCUCGAUCCAGAUGAACCAAAACAAGGUUCAGCAUUGCAUUUACUACUCGUCAUGUUCAUAGAACGAUUUAGACAGGAACGUGAGUGCGAGAGCGACGUGAGUGCUAAUGGCUUGAUAAACGUAGCACAAACCAAAGCGAAUCAAUGCAAGUUUUACCACUGAAUUGUAAUGAAGAGUAACCGUAAAUAGACUACGUUGUAGAAUUCACUUCAAAUCACUAGAUACACCGCAAAGUAGAUAGAUUAUGGUUAAUUAUACCGGUAAAAACUGAAAUAUAGCCGAGCGAAAAAAUAAUACUUCUAAGCACUUCAUAUACACUGAACCAAAAAAGCCAUAUCAUUAUGAAGCGUGUGGUACCAAAUGUUGCUCCUGCUCGUUUAUGCUGUAACAACAGCAACAAGUCUAAAUCCAAUCACGCCUGAAGUCUUCCCUAGACCUAGGUAGUAUCGUUAGUACUCCGGGAAUCGACAGGUAACGUAAGCCAUCUGCGUCACGUGGAUACUCGGCGCACGUGGGCAAGGUUCGUUAUCUUGCUGCAGCACAAACCCAAAUAGAAAACACCUCACUGAAGUAUCCGGUGAAGUCGUUAACGUUCCUUUACGACUCUGUAUCCAUUGUUCAAUGGACACGGUUUUAUGUUUUUUUAUCCGUUUGAUUCGUUUUCGAACGUUAACUGGUGUUUUGUUACAUUGUACAUUUUAUUAAAUUUCAAAAACUAACUUAUUUCAAUACAAUGAAUAAACGAGAA